AACCUAGUUGAACUUUUGCAAGUUCCGGAGUUAACUUAUAGUCUGGUAAUACCAAAUGUGAAUUCUAAUGUUGGAUAAAUCCCAGCAAGUCAAGGCUACGGAAACUGCAAUGCAUUGAAGGAAUUAACGCGGAAACUAACACAUACACACCGUGCAACUCAUAAGCCCAAUGAGUAAGAAAGGGAUGAACGAUCACACGUAUACAAGAGUUUCGUUAGAAUUGUCAAUUGGGCCUUAAUAAACUUUAAUAGAAAUCUCUGAUAGCGCUGUUGGGCAAUUAACCGGUGAUAUAACCGCUAGGCUGGCUUGCAGGGAUGGUAGCCUUAAAAUCAUCUUUUCAUUCUUUGCUUGGUUGCGCGCAUUUGGCUUAAAAUUCGUGUUGGAUGCGUUAGAAGGAAUGUUGCGAAAAAAAUUUGAGUCGGAAAGAAUGUUUAGCCAGGUUGGAUUGCUAAUAUCAGAUAGGAGAACAGCACUAAAGACUAAAAAUGUCAACAAAUUACAAAACCAGUGGAUUAUUGAGAAAUAAAGUACUCUACCGAAACGAAUUUUAAGCAUAAAUUUCUUGAUCUCAUAUUACAUUAGUGAAUGUAUACAAAAUGUAUAUUUUAUAACUCGUCAAAUCUUAGAGCAGUUUAUAUAGUAACAUGAAAAAUUUGAUAUGUAACUUUAUUAACUUAUUUGUGUUUUCCGUCAUUGUUCAUGUUUUGUUUUAAAAAUAAAUCCAGAGGCUUUUUAAUAAAAAUGAAA